CCUACGGGUGGCAGCAGUAGGGAAUCUUUCACAAUGGGCGAAAGCCUGAUGGAGCAACGCCGCGUGCAGGAUGAAGGCCUUCGGGUUGUAAACUGCUUUUAUAAGCGAGAAAUAUGAUGGUAACUUAUGAAUAAGGAUCGGCUAACUACGUGCCAGCAGCCGCGGUCAUACGUAAGAUCCGAGCAUUAUCCGGAGUGACUGGGUGUAAAGAGUUGCGUAGGUGGCAUAAUAAGUAGCUGGUGAAAUCUGGUGGCUCAACCAUUCAGACUAUUAGCUAAACUGUUAAGCUCGAGACCGUUAGGGGUAACUGGAAUUUCUAGUGUAGGAGUGAAAUCCGUAGAUAUUAGAAGGAACACCAAUAGCGUAGGCAGGUUGCUGGGACGGUUCUGACACUAAGGCACGAAAGCGUAGGGAGCAAACGGGAUUAGAUACCCGUGUAGUC
rnacentral:rRNA from 1 species